UUCAAAGUCCCUUCAACCUUAGGGACAGACACAUCAAAAUCUCCUUUUACUUUGGGUCCUUUCAAAUCCAGGUCAACAUCAGGUAUGGAGAUCUUGGGAGCUUUGAUAUUUAUUUCAGGCAUCUUGAACUUGGGGCCCUUUAGUUUCGCAUCUGGACCUUCGAUAUUCACAUCAGGAACAUCAACGUCCACUUUGGGUCCUGAGACAUCAAUGUCAGCCUUGGGCAGGUUCACAUCCACAUCUGGGCCCUCUCCUUUGAAGCCAGGCAUGCUGAACUUGGGCAUUUUCACCUUGGGCAUCUUCAGGUGCCAGUCUGGGCCUUGAACACCCACAUCUGGGGCAUUAAUAUCCACUUUGGGCCCCUUGAUGUCAACUUCGGGGCCCUUGAGGUCACCUUCCACUUUGGGCAGAGAAACAUCCACAUCGCCCUUCACCUUGGGACCUUUCAGAUGCAAAUCAAAGUCAGGCAUGGAGAUCUUGGGGACUUUGAUGUUCAUCUCAGGCAUCUUAAACUUGGGCCCUUUCAAUUUCCCUUCUGGUUCCUCAAUG
rnacentral:lncRNA from 1 species